UCUCAUCAACACUCACCAUGAAGAUCCCACUCUCUUUAUUCCUGCUACUAAUCAGCCUCAUCACAGGUGUGAAAGGUCAAAGUCUUGAGUCUUUACAAACGACAGUGCAGAAGAAACCUGGAGAAACUCUGAGUCUCUCCUGCAGAGGAUCUGGAGUUAGUUUUGGAGACCACAACAUGCACUGGAUCAGACGACAGGCGAACAAACCACUGGUGUGGAUGGGACGUGUUUGGUAUAAUGCAAAUGGUCAUGACUAUGCAAAAUCUUUUGAAGGGAGAACAGAAAUCACCAGAGAUAAUUCCAACAGCAUGGUGUAUCUGAAACUCUCUGGUGUGACAGCAGAGGACACAGCUGUGUAUUACUGCGCACGGGAAGCACAGUAGCAGAAAUA